CGAAAAUCGUUCCAGCGUUGGCCCCAACCACCCCAAGGACGCACAUCUACACCACAACACCCUGUGGAUUGCAGCCCUGGAGGAUGGAGCAAGCACAGUAAUCCAAGGCACCAGAGAGGUACUCCACGCCACCAUGUAGAGGAUUGCUACAUAGAUGUCGACCGCAUUACAUCAAGGCGAAGCUCUCGAUUUACCGGUCAAUCUACGUUCCUACUCUCACCUAUGGUCAUGAGCUUUGGGUCAUGGACAAGAUCCCGGAUACAGGCGGCCGAAAUGAGCUUUCUCCGCAGGGUGGCUGGGCGAUCCCUUAGAGAUAGGGUGAGAAGCUCGGUCACCCGGGAGGAGCUCAGAGUAGAGCCGUUGCUCCUCCUCAUCGAGAGGGGUCAGCUGAGGUGGCUUGGGCAUCUGUUUCGGAUGCCUCCGGAACGCCUUCCUGGGAAGGUGUUCCGGUCCCGUCCCACGGGGAGGAGACCCCGGGGAAGACCUAGGACAUGCUGGAGGGACUAUGUCUCCCGGCUGGCCUGGGAACGCCUAGGUGUCCCCCCGGAAGAGCUGGAGGAAGUGUCUGGGGAGAGGGAAGUCUGGGCAUCUCUGCUUAGACUGCUGCCCCCGCGACCCGGCCCCGGAUGAAGCGGAAGAAGAUGAUGAUGAUGAAGGCAGAUAACAUUUGGAGGAGAUCAAGUGGCUGACUGAAGAGAAGGUCGAGCUGAGAACACAGCUGGCUCUACAAUCAGCUCCUGAUAAACAUCUGAAUGAAGACAAUAUCAUGCUGAGGGCACAGCUGGCUCUACAAUCAGUUAAAAACAAGACUAUUGUUGCGCUAGCAUGUUGUCUUCAUGAAACAUUUCAUUUGUCUUGAAUGUCAUGCAAUUCUCAAUCAUGUCAGACCAUUUAAGUACAAUAUCUGAUUACUGUAUUAAAGGAGCCUUAAGGAAGAAUCCUUCCAUCCAGGAUGCCUCUGACAAGGCUGUCCAGAACAUGGUCCCCAGGUACCAGAAAGGGGCAGCUGAGUGUGCAGAUGGGAGAAGACGUCGCGGCGGGACCUGCCGUGAAUAUGAUGAAUGACAUCUCCAGCACAACCAAUAUUGC
ensembl:lncRNA